rnacentral:rRNA from 1 species
AGUGAACGCUGGCGGUAGGCCUAACACAUGCAAGUCGAACGGCAGCACAGUAAGAGCUUGCUCUUACGGGUGGCGAGUGGCGGACGGGUGAGGAAUACAUCGGAAUCUACUUUUUCGUGGGGGAUAACGUAGGGAAACUUACGCUAAUACCGCAUACGACCUACGGGUGAAAGCAGGGGAUCUUCGGACCUUGCGCGAUUGAAUGAGCCGAUGUCGGAUUAGCUAGUUGGCGGGGUAAAGGCCCACCAAGGCGACGAUCCGUAGCUGGUCUGAGAGGAUGAUCAGCCACACUGGAACUGAGACACGGUCCAGACUCCUACGGGAGGCAGCAGUGGGGAAUAUUGGACAAUGGGCGCAAGCCUGAUCCAGCCAUACCGCGUGGGUGAAGAAGGCCUUCGGGUUGUAAAGCCCUUUUGUUGGGAAAGGAAAGCAGCAGGUUAAUACCCCGCUGUUCUGACGGUACCCAAAGAAGAAGCACCGGCUAACUUCGU